rnacentral:rRNA from 1 species
GUCUACAGCCAUCCCACCCUGAAAGCGCCUGACCUCGUCUGAGCACAGAAGCUAAGCAGGGUCGGGCCUGGCCAGCACUGGGAUGGGAGCAUGAGUAACUGUCAGCA